GGAGCCCCGGAGGGCUUUUGAAGAUGGGGAAACAGAGGCACUGAAAGUCCUGCGAGCGUUGUCUCCAGGACCAUCUGCAGUGGGAAUUAGAAUGGGCCCCAAUUCAGUAUUGGGGAAUACUGGAGUCCUUAAAAGAAGAGGAGAUGCACAGAGACGGGACAGGACACAAGAGGAUGGAGACAGAGAUUGGAGAACUGCAGCCGCAAGACAAGGACAGCCUGGAGCCACCAGGAGCUGGAAGAGGCAGGAAGGAUUCUCCCCUAGAGCACUCAGAGGGAGCUGACACAUUGACUUUGGACUUCUGGCCUCUAGAAUGUGGGGGAAUACGUUUCUGUUGCUGUGAGUCACCCACGUCAUGGUAUUUUGUUAUGGCAGUCCCGGGCCCUCAUACACUGUCCUUCUGUUCUUUGCAUAGUGAUGCUCC
rnacentral:lncRNA from 1 species